AUAUUCUGAUUACCUAAUAUUGUAAGAAUGAGGAGUUUUGCGUUUGUUUUGUUAUUGGUUGCAGUUGCUUUGUCAGAGAUGCAGCCUGAAAGCAGGUCCUAUGCAAUGGCAGACAUAAUACCAGUGCCCUGAAAUUUCAACCAGUGUAUGGCCACCUGCAGGAGGAACGGUUUCAGCGGCGGCUACUGUAACUUGUUGGGAUGCCAAUGUAUUAGAUGAAGAUUUAUUGAAUGUACCUACUGUAUUCUUAUCAAAGUUCAUUACUUAAGAAAUAAAUAAAUAAAUAUC